rnacentral:rRNA from 1 species
AUUGAACGCUGGCGGCAGGCCUAACACAUGCAAGUCGAACGGUAACAGGGAUCAGCUUGCUGAUUCGCUGACGAGUGGCGGACGGGUGAGUAAUGUCUGGGAAACUGCCUGAUGGAGGGGGAUAACUACUGGAAACGGUAGCUAAUACCGCAUAACGUCGCAAGACCAAAGAGGGGGACCUUCGGGCCUCUUGCCAUCGGAUGUGCCCAGAUGGGAUUAGCUAGUAGGUGGGGUAACGGCUCACCUAGGCGACGAUCCCUAGCUGGUCUGAGAGGAUGACCAGCCACACCGGAACUGAGACACGGUCCAGACUCCUACGGGAGGCAGCAGUGGGGAAUAUUGCACAAUGGGCGCAAGCCUGAUGCAGCCAUGCCGCGUGUAUGAAGAAGGCCUUCGGGUUGUAAAGUACUUUCAGCGGGGAGGAAGGGAGUAAAGUUAAUACCUUUGCUCAUUGACGUUACCCGCAGAAGAAGCACCGGCUAACUCCGUG